AGCAGAAAUUACAAUCAUAAAUAAAGAAAAAACCAAACAUUAUUUCGAAAUCGAGUAGAAGCAGCAAUUUUGCAGUGUUACAAUUUGUUCGGCCUCAGGACGGUGUCAGCGAUUAGUAUAUUGUUACGAUGCUACGGUGCUUAGAACUGCAGUCACAUGGAGUGGAUCAAGAAACAAGAAAUGCACGAGAUACCUGUUGUGCCAAGACUCCAUGAGGACCAGUACAUGAGCCAUGUCAGAAGAGGGG